UACAGAGGGGGCAAGCGUUGUUCGGAAUUACUGGGCGUAAAGGGCGCGUAGGCGGCUUGCCAAGUCAGGGGUGAAAUCUUUCGGCUCAACCGGAAAAGUGCCUUUGAUACUGGCGAGCUAGAGGGAGGUAGGGGUGCGUGGAACUUCUGGUGGAGCGGUGAAAUGCGUAGAUAUCAGAAGGAACGCCGGUGGCGAAAGCGACGCACUGGAUCUCUACUGACGCUGAGGCGCGAAAGCUAGGGGAGCGAACGGG
rnacentral:rRNA from 1 species